rnacentral:rRNA from 1 species
AUUGAACGCUGGCGGAAUGCUUUACACAUGCAAGUCGAACGGUAGAGGGGGCAACCCCUCGAGAGUGGCGAACGGGUGAGUAAUAUAUCGGAACGUGCCCAGUCGUGGGGGAUAACGUAGCGAAAGUUACGCUAAUACCGCAUACGAUCUAAGGAUGAAAGCGGGGGAUCGCAAGACCUCGCGCGAUUGGAGCGGCCGGUAUCAGAGUAGGUAGUUGGUGGGGUAAAGGCUCACCAAGCCAACGAUCUGUAGCUGGUCUGAGAGGACGACCAGCCACACUGGAACUGAGACACGGUCCAGACUCCUACGGGAGGCAGCAGUGGGGAAUUUUGGACAAUGGACGCAAGUCUGAUCCAGCCAUUCCGCGUGCAGGAUGAAGGCCCUCGGGUUGUAAACUGCUUUUGUACGGAACGAAAAGGUCUCUCUUAAUACGGGGGACUCAUGACGGUACCGUAAGAAUAAGCACCGGCUAACUACGUGCCAGCCGCCGCCGUAAAAC